GGGCAGUGCUGCUGCCUUGGGUUUGGGAAGGUUCUGGGUCACAGCCCGGGGCUGAAGGUUUGGGAAGGGUCUGAGCUGCAUCCUGGGGACUGAGGGAUGUUGGUACAAGUGGUACCAAGGGUUGGGAAUUGUGUUUGUGUUUGCAUCACCCACCAGCCCUGGUGCUGGGUGUGGGGCCGUGCCUGGCCUGAAUUCGGGGCUCCCUGUGGUGGCUCAUUUGUUGUGUUUUCCAGACUUAGAUUGCACGAAGAUUUUGAGUUGUCACUAAACUUUGGCACUGGAGAGGUUCUGGGCAGUUUGUUGAUUGGCCCCUGCUCUCUCCAGGAUUAGAGACUGGAUCAGGAUUAGAGACUGGAUCAAGCCUGGCUGUCACAGGAGUCAGGGUGUGCAGGUUAUUCUCUCUUCAAGUGCUUUAUAGCACUGCAGGGUGAGGCUGUGGUUUCAGGAGUAACUUGCUGGGAAGGGGUAGAAGUGAUAACACAGACAUUUAAUUCAUUUUAAUGAGACUCAAUCUCCAGGUGCUCCCGUGUCAGGCCUUUGGAGAUGUGCCUUUGUGACAGAAGCGCUGCACUAAAGAGGAUCUGUGGAGGUAACAAUAGGAUGUCAAAAUGAAGUGAAACAAGGGCAGGGCAAUUUUAUGGAGAUGACAUGACAGGAGGAAAGUAUGGGGGGAAGAAAAGAGAAUUUAAGAUGUCAGUACAGAUUUACUGAAGGCUUUCCGAUGUCAGCUAGAAGAAAUGUCAGCAGGACUGACUUGGCAGUGUCAAGGUGAUGGCAGGAUGAAGUCCGAUCAGUUGGGAAGCAUCUCCGGCAGUGGAGACGAGCUGCUGUCAGUAAAGAUGAUGUCAGGCUGAUAAUUAUUUUGUACAUUGUGGUUUAAGUAGGGCAUUGUUUCUGUUGAGGUAUUUUGAAUUCAGCACAAGGUAGGAGAAUAGUCAUUAAAAGACAAAAGCCUCCAAUUCUUUCUGUGAGAAUGACAGGAGCUUCCAACCCAGCCUCGGAGCCGCUGCAGUGAAGCUGGCACUCGGCUGCCCUGGGGACUGGGCACUGCCUGCUGUGGGUAGAGUUUAGGGAGACUGAGUUACCACUCUGCUUGGCCUCUUUUCAUUUCUCUCCUCAAACUCUGCCUGAUAAAUAAGAGGGCAGAAAACUCUCUCUUCAAACUGCCUAGGGCAGAGGAGUAACUGAUGUCACGUGGGAGUGCAGCCAUGAUUUCAGGCAGAACUGAAUUUGAAUUUCUCGGAGAGUUCCCAUAAGAAUGGAGGAAAGAAAGGUUCCCUAAAAACCUCCUCUUGUGGAACUGGGCCUGAUUCCACUUAAGUCUGAUGUGCAACUUUCCUCCUUGGAGAAAAAGGCAUCCUGACCAGAAAUAUGGUGCCAGAGCAGGCAGCUCAGAGAGAGGAACUGGUUUGCCUGGGUAGACUGAAAUGGCAUUUCAGUUCACUGGCCUGGCUACAGGAAGCCAAGAGCAGGAGUCCAGUGCUGUCUCCACCAAAGCUGGAAUGCCUCCUCUGAACACUGCUUGGCUUCCAGCCAUGCAGAGUACCCAGAUCUCGGGGAGGCUGCUGCUGUUCAGAAUGGGAGAUGGAAGUGGAGAAAGCAGUUGGAAGUGCACCUGCUGAAAUGUUCUUCCUGCACCCACACUGAUUAAAGUAUAGCCUACUUCUUUUUCCUGCUUCCCUCAUAAAAGAUGCGUUGGGUGGAGCUCAUCUGUCUAGAGGAAAGGAAGGCAGGGUAGUGGAGACUGGAUUCUCUUUCUGUCUGUCUUUUGAUCCUCCUGUGUAAGUUGAAGGUUUUAGAAAUUAUUAAAAGCUUCAUGCAGGGUGAAUACUUUCAGAGGAGACUGAAUCUGCAGACCUAAGUUCCAGCUCUAUGGUUCUCUCACAAGCCCAAGGCUGGGGUAUUAAAUCCUAUCACACUGAUCAACAUGGUCAAAAGAGCAAGACGAGUGUGGAAGUGGGUUGACUUCUGCACAUUUUCAAAGCCUUGUUUCAAACUUACCCUUAACAGCUUUUUAGAAGACCCUCUCAACUGGAGAAUGUAAGGCUGAUUGAAACAGCUCUCUAUGAUGCUGAGGUUUUAAGGACACAAUAAGCUGCUCUGCUCUGUAAGUGGCCAGAAAAUAGCUAAUACCUGGCAUGGUGAUGUGGUGCCUUUAAUCCUCCUGAUUAAAAAAUGUUAUCCUUUCCCUUUAGUCUUUUUGAUAGGCAGCAGUCACCUGUCACUCCUUUUUAGCAUAUUCCACACAUUAAAUGCAUGCUUCUUCUUUGAUAGUAAUAGCAAGAACAACUCUGCACUUAAAUUGAGUCUGGGGUUUCCAAAGUGAAGGAUAAACUCACAGCUAAUUCUGCCACUGUGUGGAAUUUUACAUGCCUGGAAUUUUACAUGCCUGGAAACCUACAGACUGAUACUAGUAAAGCCCGUGGUCAUAAAUUGAGCUUUUUGGUUAAGAACUCCACUCUAAACUGAUCAGUCAGGAUUUUUUUUUCCUAGUAGAAUAAAUUGAUGCUGAGCUGGGAAUGAAACUCAUUUCAUGAGGAGUGUAGUUUUUUCUAGUCUCUCAGUGUUACUGUCCUUCCACCCACAAGGUAUCACUGGUUCUGUCUCAGUAGCAAAUAUUAACCCCCAGCAACAUUACAGAGUCGUAGGAGGAAGCUCUUCCAUCAGUCAUUUUCCUUGCUUGAGUACAGGCUGCAGCCAGUUUAAAAUAACCAGCCAUUUCUUGUUAUCUGCUUUAAAUUGCUGAAUCCAGCAGCCCUGAAGAACGAGGCCACGUCUGGAGAACCUGCCUGUGCUGCCAAUGUUCUCUGAGCAGCAGGAAGGAAAGAGUCUCUUCCUUGUGAAGCAGCAUCAAAAGAGCUGUCGUGUGUCUAAUGCCCUGUCUUCCAGCCUGCAGUCUCUGCAAGUGAGAUUCCCUUUAUCAUAAUACAGUAAAUCAUCUCAGAAACACGCACUUGGGGAUGAAGAGGAUUAUGUUUUUGUUAGUGUCUGAUUGCCUUUUUCAGCAAUCCUUUCUCAGGCAUUAAAGCCGUGGCUCUUUGCAAGCGCUGUUGUUUUGGGGCUGUCAUGUGGUGGAUGGGAAGAAGUCGUGUUGCUUUGUACCUCAGACCUGUUCAAAGGCAGCCUGACCAUCUUCUGUUGUGACAGUGUAAAAGCUGGCACCCUCCACCUCCACAAACAGACCGAGAACUGAGCGCUGUGGGUGUUCUCACUUAGGAGGGUGUCAAGACAUUAAGUUCAAGUCUGUUGUAUGUGCUGUGAGGUUCCUGGGCAGAGCUUUGAAGUUCUGUACUACCCUUUCCUCACUGUUCAGCAGGGACAGGAGGGGAGCAGACAGCUCCUGUAGGCUGGAAAAAGUUAUCAGUUUCUGUAGGCUGAAAGAAGAACUGGAGACAUUCAGCAAACUGUGAAACAGGGCUCACCAACCUUUCUGUCUCACUGACCUCAUGCCCAAAGCUCUGUGUGGCUGGAGUGACCACACACAUCCCAUGUGGUGUGGAGAGCCUCAGGAGGAGUGUGUGAGGAGGAGAUGGCCUUUGUUCC